rnacentral:lncRNA from 1 species
AACAGAUAUUAUGCAGAUCAAGCAAUCGCAACAUUAAUUUAUAAAAUGAAACUUUGAAGUGUGGUUUCAAAGUUAUUGGUGUCAAUUAUGCUUGUAAGUGAUGCGGGUAAGUUAUUCCAAUCUUUGCUCGUUUGGGGAAGAAAUGAAUAUGAAAAGCGGACGGUGUUGCAGCGCGGAAUGUUUACCUUUUGGCGGUGGUCAAUGCGAGAUGAAAUGCGAGAUAAAACUCGUGUU